rnacentral:lncRNA from 1 species
UAUAUGUCUUCCACUCCAUCAUGCUACAUUUUUUGUCAUUUAUUACCUACUCAGCUGAUGAGAAGUAAAAAGGUAGCAUGGUGUAAGUUUUCACAGGUACUUUCUUAUUCUGUGUAUUGAUUGAACAUGACUUUUAUACUCAGUGAAUCUCAUAGUGGAGAAAUAGAAAUGUAUUCUUGCUCUUUUCAGGAAUUUUAGUUGAAAACCUAAUAUUGUUCAUCCAAGCCACUGCAAACUAGGAUCUCCAAAUCCUUUUUCUUUGGUGGGUUAAACUAGAGAAGUCAUUUAAUAUGUUAUUCUUACCCUUUUGAACACUAAAAGACCACAGAUUUCUUUAUAAGAUGCUCUAGCUUAUAUGACUGAGGGGGUGGUUAAUGUCAUUUGUGCUCAUGGGAAUCACAGGUUUUUAACAGUCUGAAAUAUUCAUUAUGAAAAA